rnacentral:rRNA from 1 species
AUUGAACGCUGGCGGCGUGCCUAACACAUGCAAGUCGAGCGGUAACAGGUGUAGCAAUACAUGCUGACGAGCGGCGGACGGGUGAGUAACGCUUGGGAACCUGCCUAUUAGUGGGGGACAACCCGGGGAAACGUCGGGCUAAUACCGCAUACGCACUACGGUGGAAAGACCGGGGACCGCAAGGCCUGGCGCUAACAGAUGAGCCCAAGUCGGAUUAGCUAGUUGGUAGGGUAACGGCCUACCAAGGCGACGAUCCGUAACUGGUCUGAGAGGACGACCAGUCACACCGGAA